GUCCACACCGUAAACGUUGGGCGCUAGGUGUGGGAUCCAUUCCACGGGUUCCGUGCCGCAGCUAACGCAUUAAGCGCCCCGCCUGGGGAGUACGGCCGCAAGGCUAAAACUCAAAGGAAUUGACGGGGGCCCGCACAAGCGGCGGAGCAUGCGGAUUAAUUCGAUGCAACGCGAAGAACCUUACCUGGGUUUGACAUACGCCGGAAACCCCCAGAGAUGGGGGCCCUUUUAGUCGGUGUACAGGUGGUGCAUGGCUGUCGU
rnacentral:rRNA from 1 species